rnacentral:rRNA from 1 species
CUAAGAAUAUUCCGCAAUGGACGAAAGUCUGACGGAGCGACGCCGCGUGGAUGACGAAGGCCGAAAGGUUGUAAAGUCCUUUUGUUGGGGAAGAAUAACCAUGGGAGGGAAUGCCCGUGGGAUGACAUGAACCGACGAAUAAGCCCCGGCUAACUACGUGCCAGCAGCCGCGGUAACACGUAGGGGGCAAGCGUUGUUCGGAAUUACUGGGCGUAAAGGGCAUGUAGGCGGCCUUGUAAGCCUGGCGUGAAAGUCACCGGCUCAACCGGUGGAUUGCGUUGGGAACUGCAGGGCUUGAGUCAUGGAGAGGAAGGUAGAAUUCCUGGUGUAGGGGUGAAAUCUGUAGAGAUCAGGAAGAAUACCAGUGGCGAAGGCGACCUUCUGGCCAAUGACUGACGCUGAGGUGCGAAAGUGUGGGGAUCAAACAGG